GACGAACGCUGGCGGCGUGCUUAACACAUGCAAGUCGAACGGAAAGGUCCUGCUUUUGUGGGGUGCUCGAGUGGCGAACGGGUGAGUAACACGUGAGUAACCUGCCCUUGACUUUGGGAUAACUUCAGGAAACUGGGGCUAAUACCGGAUAGGAGCUCCUGCUGCAUGGUGGGGGUUGGAAAGUUUCGGCGGUUGGGGAUGGACUCGCAGCUUAUCAGCUUGUUGGUGGGGUAGUGGCUUACCAAGGCUUUGACGGGUAGCCGGCCUGAGAGGGUGACCGGCCACAUUGGGACUGAGAUACGGCCCAGACUCCUACGGAAGGCAGCAGUGGGGAAUAUUGCACAAUGGGCGGAAGCCUGAUGCAGCAACGCCGCGUGCGGGAUGACGGCCUUCGGGUUGUAAACCGCUUUCGCCUGUGACGAAGCGUGAGUGACGGUAAUGGGUAAAGAAGCACCGGCUAACUACGUG
rnacentral:rRNA from 1 species